rnacentral:rRNA from 1 species
GAACGCUGGCGGCGUGCCUAAUACAUGCCAGUCGAGCGAACGGACGAGAAGCUUGCUUCUCUGAUGUUAGCGGCGGACGGGUGAGUAACACGUGGAUAACCUACCUAUAAGACUGGGAUAACUUCGGGAAACCGGAGCUAAUACCGGAUAAUAUUUUGAACCGCAUGGUUCAAAAGUGAAAGACGGUCUUGCUGUCACUUAUAGAUGGAUCCGCGCUGCAUUAGCUAGUUGGUAAGGUAACGGCUUACCAAGGCAACGAUGCAUAGCCGACCUGAGAGGGUGACCGGCCACACUAGAACUGCGAAACGGUCCAGACUCCUACGGGAGGCAGCAGUAGGGACUCUUCCGCAAUGGGCGAAAGCCUGACGGAGCAACGCCGCAUGAGUGAUGAAGGUCUUCGGAUCGUAAAACUCUGUUAUUAGGGAAGAACAUAUGUGUAAGUAACUGUGCACAUCUUGACGGUACCUAAUCAGAAAGCCACGGCUAACUACGUG